AACGAACGCUGGCGGCAGGCUUAACACAUGCAAGUCGAACGGGUGUAGCCAUACAUCAGUGGCAGACGGGUGAGUAACACGCGGGAACCUUCCUAGGGGUACGGAACAACUCAGGGAAACUUGAGCUAAUACCGUAUACGUCCGUGAGGAGAAAGAUUUAUCGCCCUUAGACGGGCCCGCGUCGGAUUAGGUAGUUGGUGGGGUAACGGCCUACCAAGCCUACGAUCCGUAGCUGAUCUUAGAGGAUGACCAGCCACACUGGGACUGAGACACGGCCCAGACUCCUACGGGAGGCAGCAGUGGGGAAUCUUGGACAAUGGGCGCAAGCCUGAUCCAGCCAUGCCGCGUGAGUGAAGAAGGCCUUAGGGUUGUAAAGCUCUUUUACCAGGGACGAUAAUGACGGUACCUGGAGAAUAAGCCCCGGCAAACUUCGUGCCAGGAGCCGCCGUAAGAC
rnacentral:rRNA from 1 species